CAAACUAUCUUAACAACCAAAAUACGCCAUUUCCUCUGAUUUAAUUGUAAACCUUCACAAAAUAAAAACUUUUUAUCGUUGAAAUCAAUUUCUACCGAUCAACUUUUGAAGAUCAGCAUUUCUAACUAAUUAGUUAUUUGUUAAGUUGCGAUGAUGUGGAGAAUCCCAAGGUUGCAGCUGAUGCAUAGCAACAAAGUCAUCUUAGUUAUCAUGAAGACUUUCUAUUGAUUUUAUUUUAUUGGCUUGUAUGACAAAACAUGAUUUCGUUUGAGUUUGUUCUUUUUUUUAUCUGCUCUGAUGUGCGGCAGAGGUUGGUUAUUACUCUUAUUUUCUACAAUAUUUUAUACAUGUCUAAAUUUUUAGAAUGUUUA